rnacentral:rRNA from 1 species
UACGUAGGGGGCAAGCGUUGUCCGGAUUUAUUGGGCGUAAAGAGCGUGUAGGCGGCCAUGUAGGUCCGUUGUGAAAACUCGAGGCUCAACCUCGAGACGCCGAUGGAAACCAUGUGGCUAGAGUCCGGAAGAGGAGAGUGGAAUUCCUGGUGUAGCGGUGAAAUGCGCAGAUAUCAGGAAGAACACCGACGGCGAAGGCAGCUCGCUGGGACGGUACUGACGCUGAGGCGCGAAAGCGUGGGGAGCGAACAGG